rnacentral:hammerhead_ribozyme from 1 species
GCACUGCUGAGGAGUCCCAUACCAGGAUGAAACAGCCGUCCAGUGC